rnacentral:rRNA from 1 species
GGUGAACGCUGGCGGUAGGCCUAACACAUGCAAGUCGAACGGCAGCACAGUAAGAGCUUGCUCUUACGGGUGGCGAGUGGCGGACGGGUGAGGAAUACAUCGGAAUCUACUUUUUCGUGGGGGAUAACGUAGGGAAACUUACGCUAAUACCGCAUACGACCUACGGGUGAAAGCAGGGGAUCUUCGGACCUUGCGCGAUUGAAUGAGCCGAUGUCGGAUUAGCUAGUUGGCGGGGUAAAGGCCCACCAAGGCGACGAUCCGUAGCUGGUCUGAGAGGAUGGUCAGCCACACUGGAACUGGGACACGGUCCAGACUCCUACGGGAGGCAGCAGUGGGGAAUAUUGGACAAUGGGCGCAAGCCUGAUCCAGCCAUACCGCGUGGGUGAAGAAGGCCUUCGGGUUGUAAAGCCCUUUUGUUGGGAAAGAAAAGCAGCAGGUUAAUACCCCGCUGUUCUGACGGUACCCAAAGAAUAAGCACCGGCUAACUUCGUG